rnacentral:rRNA from 1 species
AUUGAACGCUGGCGGCAUGCUUUACACAUGCAAGUCGAACGGUAACAGGCCUUCGGGUGCUGACGAGUGGCGAACGGGUGAGUAAUGCAUCGGAACGUGCCCAAUCGUGGGGGAUAACGUAGCGAAAGUUACGCUAAUACCGCAUAAGCCCUGAGGGGGAAAGUGGGGGACCGCAAGGCCUCACGCGAAUGGAGCGGCCGAUGUCAGAUUAGCUAGUUGGUGGGGUAAGGGCCUACCAAGGCGACGAUCGGUAACUGGUCUGAGAGGAUGAUCAGUCACACUGGAACUGAGACACGGUCCAGACUCCUACGGGAGGCAGCAGUGGGGAAUUUUGGACAAUGGGCGCAAGCCUGAUCCAGCCAUGCCGCGUGCGGGAAGAAGGCC